UAGUCCACGCCGUAAACGAUGUUCGUUAACUGGUGGGAUGACUCACUGGUGCAGCUAACGCAUUAAACGAACCGCCUGAGUAGUAUGCGCGCAAGCGUGAAACUUAAAGGAAUUGACGGGGACCCGCACAAGCGGUGGAGCAUGUGGUUUAAUUUGAAGAUACGCGGAGAACCUUACCCUCUCUUGACAUCCCCUGCAAAGGCAUAGAGAUAUGUUGGAGGUUAACAGGGUGACAGAUGGUGCAUGGUUGUCGUCAGCUCGUGUCGUGAGAUGUUCGGUUAAGUCCGGCAACGAGCGCAACCCCUAUCCUUAGUUACUAACAUUAAGUUGAGGACUCUGAGGAGACUGCCUGGGUAACCAGGAGGAAGGUGGGGACGACGUCAAAUCAUCAUGCCUCUUACGAGAGGGGGCUACACACGUGCUACAAUGGACGGUACAAUGGGGAUGCGACCUGGUGACAGUGAGCUAACCU
rnacentral:rRNA from 1 species